rnacentral:rRNA from 1 species
AGUGAACGCUGGCGGUAGGCCUAACACAUGCAAGUCGAACGGCAGCACAGUAAGAGCUUGCUCUUACGGGUGGCGAGUGGCGGACGGGUGAGGAAUAUAUCGGAAUCUACUUUUUCGUGGGGGAUAACGUAGGGAAACUUACGCUAAUACCGCAUACGACCUACGGGUGAAAGCAGGGGAUCUUCGGACCUUGCGCGAUUGAAUGAGCCGAUGUCGGAUUAGCUAGUUGGCGGGGGAAAGGCCCACCAAGGCGACGAUCCGUAGCUGGUCUGAGAGGAUGAUCAGCCACACUGGAACUGAGACACGGUCCAGACUCCUACGGGAGGCAGCAGUGGGGAAUCUUGGACAAUGGGCGCAAGCCUGAUCCAGCCAUACCGCGUGGGUGAAGAAGGCCUUCGGGUUGUAAAGCCCUUUUGUUGGGAAAGAAAAGCAGCAGGUUAAUACCCCGCUGUUCUGACGGUACCCAAAGAAUAAGCACCGGCUAACUUCGUG